AUUCAUCUGACGAGUCCCAAAUAAGACGAAACACAUAUCUUGGAU
rnacentral:hammerhead_ribozyme from 1 species